rnacentral:tRNA from 1 species
GGAGAGAUGGCUGAGCUGGUCGAAGGCGCACGACUGGAAAUCGUGUAUACGUUUAUAGCGUAUCGAGGGUUCGAAUCCCUCUCUCUCCGCCA